UGCGCUAAUAGAUGAGCCUAAGUCGGAUUAGCUAGUUGGUGGGGUAAAGGCCUACCAAGGCGACGAUCUGUAGCGGGUCUGAGAGGAUGAUCCGCCACACUGGGACUGAGACACGGCCCAGACUCCUACGGGAGGCAGCAGUGGGGAAUAUUGGACAAUGGGGGGAACCCUGAUCCAGCCAUGCCGCGUGUGUGAAGAAGGCCUUAUGGUUGUAAAGCACUUUAAGCGGGGAGGAGGCUACUUUAGAUAAUACCUAGAGAUAGUGGACGUUACUCGCAGAAUAAGCACCGGCUAACUCUGUGCCAGCAGCCGCGGUAAUACAGAGGGUGCAAGCGUUAAUCGGAUUUACUGGGCGUAAAGCGCGCGUAGGCGGCUAAUUAAGUCAAAUGUGAAAUCCCCGAGCUUAACUUGGGAAUUGCAUUCGAUACUGGUUAGCUAGAGUGUGGGAGAGGAUGGUAGAAUUCCAGGUGUAGCGGUGAAAUGCGUAGAGAUCUGGAGGAAUACCGAUGGCGAAGGCAGCCAUCUGGCCUAACACUGACGCUGAGGUGCGAAAGCAUGGGGAGCAAACAGGAUUAGAUACCCUGGUAGUCCAUGCCGUAAACGAUGUCUACUAGCCGUUGGGGCCUUUGAGGCUUUAGUGGCGCAGCUAACGCGAUAAGUAG
rnacentral:rRNA from 1 species